GAGUGUAGCGCAGUUGUAGAGAGACUGCCUGCGACGCAGAAGGUUCUGGGAUCGAUUCCCAGUGCGUCA